rnacentral:sRNA from 1 species
UGUGAAGAGUCUUCGAUCGUUGCUCAGGUCUCGUUGUCGUCGUCGUCAUCUCACCGGGAA